UGCCCAGCAACUCAUAUCCCCACCUCCUCGCGGUACUAGCCGGGGUACUAGCAACCUUAGGGAAG
rnacentral:ribozyme from 1 species